rnacentral:rRNA from 1 species
GACGAACGCUGGCGGCGUGCUUAACACAUGCAAGUCGAACGGAAAGGCCCUGCUUUUGUGGGGUGCUCGAGUGGCGAACGGGUGAGUAACACGUGAGUAACCUGCCCUUGACUUUGGGAUAACUUCAGGAAACUGGGGCUAAUACCGGAUAGGAGCUCCUGCUGCAUGGUGGGGGUUGGAAAGUUUCGGCGGUUGGGGAUGGACUCGCGGCUUAUCAGCUUGUUGGUGGGGUAGUGGCUUACCAAGGCUUUAACGGGUAGCCGGCCUGAGAGGGUGACCGGCCACAUUGGGACUGAGAUACGGCCCAGACUCCUACGGGAGGCAGCAGUGGGGAAUAUUGCACAAUGGGCGGAAGCCUGAUGCAGCAAUGCCGCGUGCGGGAUGACGGCCUUCGGGUUGUAAACCGCUUUCGCCUGUGACGAAGCGUGAGUGACGGUAAUGGGUAAAGAAGCACCGGCUAACUACGUG